rnacentral:misc_RNA from 1 species
AAUUCUCAAAGAGUUUGUUCUCUUUGGAUUUUGGAGUGUGCUGGCUUGAAUCUUGUUCAGCUCCUCUCAAAUACAUUAGCUUGUGCUUCUGUGGAUCAGGCUUUGGUUUGAUAGUAUCUAUGUCAUUGCCUUUGAAACAAAUGAGCUAGCUUCUAAUCAUUUUAUUUUUGACA